GAUGAACGCUGGCGGCGUGCCUAAUACAUGCAAGUCGAGCGAACAGACGAGGAGCUUGCUCCUCUGACGUUAGCGGCGGACGGGUGAGUAACACGUGGAUAACCUACCUAUAAGACUGGGAUAACUUCGGGAAACCGGAGCUAAUACCGGAUAAUAUAUUGAACCGCAUGGUUCAAUAGUGAAAGACGGUUUUGCUGUCACUUAUAGGUGGAUCCGCGCCGCAUUAGCUAGUUGGUAAGGUAACGGCUUACCAAGGCAACGAUGCGUAGCCGACCUGAGAGGGGGAUAGGCCACACUGGAGCUGAGACACGGUCCAGACUCCUACGGGAGGCAGCAGUAGGGAAUCUUCCGCAAUGGGCGAAAGCCUGACGGAGCAACGCCGCGUGAGUGAUGAAGGUCUUCGGAUCGUAAAACUCUGUUAUUAGGGAAGAACAAAUGUGUAAGUAACUAUGCACGUCUUGACGGUACCUAAUCAGAAAGCCACGGCUAACUACGUG
rnacentral:rRNA from 1 species